UGUAUAGUACAACAUCUGAUGCCGCCCUGCCGGAGAGUACACCAUCUGUGUCCUCUGAGCCUGAUGCCACCCUGCCGGAGAGGAUAACAUCUGAGGCCGCCCUGCCGGA